GGGGCAUAUUGGGCAAUGGACGCAAGUCUGACCCAGCAACGCCGCGUGAAGGAAGAAGGCUUUCGGGUUGUAAACUUCUUUUAAGGGGGAAGAGUAGAAGACGGUACCCCUUGAAUAAGCCACGGCUAACUACGUGCCAGCAGCCGCGGUAAUACGUAGGUGGCAAGCGUUGUCCGGAUUUACUGGGUGUAAAGGGCGUGUAGCCGGGAAGGUAAGUCAGAUGUGAAAGGUACCGGCUCAACCGGUAACAUGCAUUUGAAACUGAAAGACUUGAGUAUUGGAGAGGCAAGUGGAAUUCCUAGUGUAGCGGUGAAAUGCGUAGAUAUUAGGAGGAACACCGGUGGCGAAGGCGGCUUUCUGGACUGUAACUGACGCUGAGGCACGAAAGCGUGGGUAGCAAACA
rnacentral:rRNA from 1 species